rnacentral:rRNA from 1 species
UACAGAGGUGGCAAGCGUUGUUCGGAAUUACUGGGCGUAAAGGGCGCGUAGGCGGUCUUGUAAGUCUUGUGUGAAAUCCAUCGGCUCAACUGAGGAACUGCACGGGAUACUGCGAGACUUGAGUUCGGGAGAGGGAAGCGGAAUUCCGGGUGUAGCGGUGAAAUGCGUAGAUAUCCGGAGGAACACCGGUGGCGAAGGUGGCUUCCUGGACCGAUCACUGACGCUGAGGCGCGAAAGCUAGGGGAGCAAACGGG